GUACCUUGGGACUGGGCCUGAGGAGGAGGAGUUAUUCAUCCCGCAAGCUUUCAGGCCCCGAGGAGAAUCUUCCAUUCCUGUCUAUUUGGUUAUAGAAAAGGGGAAAGGGACGACUUUCUCAAUAACUACUUCAGGCGUGACAUAGGGGUGGCGUGGGCACCUUGGAAAAAGAAAAACUUAAUUUUUGGGGUAUUCUUGAGAGACGGGUUGGUAUCCAUCGUGCCGCUGUAGCAGGAGCAUCAUCUGGAUUGUCAGGAGGUUAACUGUAGUUUCAACAAGAGUUUUAAUGGGAUACCACAGGGGAGAAACAGGAGGACCCCAGUGAUGAAAAUGACUGUCCCCACCAGCAUUUUAAAUCCUCCUAAAUUAGAGAACCACCCUCCUAGAAGGUUUGCUGGGUCCCAUCCCUCCCAGGUUUGGACUGGUACACGGGCUACUUUUCUGAUGUUUGAAGCGAUUUCCAGAACCUCUUCUCCAUUAUUGCCUAUGUUAAGACAGCAAUUGGAGAUGUUAAACUUACCACAGCCCGCACCCUCUUCUGCUAAUAAGUAGUCUAGGGCCAGCCUGUUUUGAUAAAUUGCCGCGCGCAUUUGGUUUUGUUGUUGCGCGAGCAUUUCUAGGGCUGAGGCAGUUUGGUUAGUGAUUAUCUCUAGAACAGCUUGUAGUCUAAUCGCUCUAUUUGGCAUAUAUAUGGGAGUGCGAUAACCCCAUGAACCAUCCUCUGCCCAAGUGGCAGGACCAUAGUAUUCAAUGAUCCGUUGCAGAGGCCACUCGUCCUCUCACAAUCUUUGGCUCCCUCCUACCUCCAAGGAUCAUUUUUCUCUGGUUAUCAUACACAGGGACUCUGAGGGUGUUGCCCGCCUGCUUCGGAAGUAAAAAGAAUCCAGGUUGAAUUGUGCCUAGGAAGCAAGUACCUUGCCAGUGAUAAGGUAGCUGUGAGUAAGCCUGGGUUCCCCAUAUCCACAGGAAUCCGUCAGUGGCAGUCCAUUGUCAGCUGGUGUUCCUAGGAUUGUCGCAUAGUACACUUAGGCGGAGGUAUGCGGCAUAAGGGUUAGUGGUGUUCGUACAGUACCAGGCCUUUUUUGACAAGACACAAUUGAGGUAGCUUAAGUUAGAAGGAGACCAGGCUCCAGGGGGUAACCUUGGCCACCACUCAGCUAUGGAGGCAUUGACUGUUAGGGUUUGGUGACGGGUUUUCACCUACGGCGCGAUGGGUUUUAUCAGUUCUCUCUUUAUGUCCUCAAGCACCUGAGUGUUUACUCCCCAUUGUCCAAUUUUGGUGAAGCAAAGCCACUGCUUCCCUCUGGGGCAAAUAGCCCCAUUACGACUGCCACAUACUCCUAGAUUCUUUACUUUAUAAUAACUCUUUCCUGAUUCAACACAUUCCUCGAUUAAGUUUCCAUAACAGGAUCUUUCUAUAUGAGUAUGGUAAGUAAAGUAUUGUUGCAUCUCCCCUCUGUAGUGCAAAGACUGAUAACACUCACGGCAGCUCGGAGGGGCUGCUGUGGACAGCAGGACAGCUACUGACAGUAUUAGGAUCGUGGUGAGGGAUAUUCCCAUAUUAAGACUUUUGGUUGGAAGAGAGGUAUAGAAAGUGGUUGGGUAGAUACAGGCCAUUCCUGGAAGCACGUGGUUAGUCUUCCUUGUGUUUUGGUUUUAAGAAAAAAAUGUUGGUUAAUUUAAACUUGGUAGGAGAAAUUGGCCCAGACAAACACUUAGCUGUUAAUGUUUUGGAGGAAGAAGCUGCCUUGGGGGUGAGCUUGACCCUGGUGCGAUGGAUCCAGUUGGGGAGUCCUCGGACUCUCACUGCAGUUGGUGUGCUGAGUAUCACAGUGUAGGGGCCUGUCCACUUCGGUGGUAGCUUUUUGUGAGGGUCAGUUUGGCCGAUAAACACGUCUGUGCCUGCAAGACAGUUAUGAUG
rnacentral:lncRNA from 1 species